GAUGAACGCUGGCGGCGUGCUUAACACAUGCAAGUCGAACGGAAAGGCCCUGCUUUUGUGGGGUGCUCGAUUGGCGAACGGGUGAGUAACACGUGUGUAACCUGCCCUUGUCUUUGGGAUAACUUCAGGAAACUGGGGCUAAUACCGGAUAGGAGCUCCUGCUGCGUGGUGGGGGUUGGAAAGUUUCGGCGGUGGGGGAUGGACUCGCGGGUUAUCAGCUUGUUGGUGGGGUAGUGGCUUACCAAGGCUUUGACGGGUAGCCGGCCUGGGAGGGUGAACGGCGACAUUGCGACUGAGAGAGGGCGCAGACUGGUACGGGAGGCAACGGUGGAGAAUAUGGCACAGUGGGCCGACGCGUGAUGCAGCGACGCCGGGUGCGGAAAGACGGCUUUCGGGUUGUAAACAGCUGUCGACUGUGACGAAGCGUGAGUGACGGUAAUGGAUAAAGAAGCACCGGCUAACUACGUG
rnacentral:rRNA from 1 species